rnacentral:ribozyme from 12 species
CAAACAUUUGUAUUGUUUCUCCUUUUUCUUCUCUUUUUUGACCCUUUCCCUUUUCAUUCUUCUGUUAUCGAGGCGGUAUUGUUAGUAAACUCACGGAAAGA